AAUAGCCAAAAAUUUAUAACAAUAAAUCCUUUCUUUUCAGAUAUACACACCUCAAACCGAAGACUUACAUCAUCACAACCACUACCCAGGACCAGGCAGAUACAGCUAUACUACAUUCAUAAAAAAUAUGAAUUAUUGAUUCAACGUGCCCACAUCUUGAGCAUUUCUCGUCCCUUACUCUAUGAUAUAAUCUCAGGUCUACUACUCUCCAUCCUCCCUCUUCAAUAUCAUUCCACAUAAUCUCUCUACUCGUAGGCUCAAAGGUGUUGUUCCAAAGUGUACUCACUAAACUGCUGUAAUUUAAGAAAAAUCCUGCUCAAACUGGGUUGAUCGACUAAGAAAAAGGUGAUGUCAUCUGCAUGCGUGAUGUAAUUAACUUUUUCUACCAUUCCUGGGAUAUGUAUCGAGGUAUAAUAUUUCUUAGGAUUUCUUCUUCCAGAGACUCAUACGACUGAGGAAUCUCAAACAGGUUCUUCCUCCGUCGAACCUCCUUGACCAACAUCCAUCAAAUCGUCCGGUUCGGUAACUUCUGCAUCUGGACGUUGAUGGGGACUGGAGACGGCCGAUCCAUCGUGGAUGGAAAGGGCACCCCCCCUCGCCAUCUAGUGCCUCUGUUGUUAAUAAUUUAUCAACUACUAACGUAGGAACUUCCAUCCAUUUACCUCUAUUAAAGACAGCACUAAAUUACAGGGAGAUAAUCUUCCCAUUACACGCCCCCCACGGGAGCUGUUUAGAUAAUUGUCUCCCUGGUCUUUUAUUCGGCGAGGACGCCACAGCCAAUGUGUCUUCCAUUUCCAGAGACAUACCUUCUCGACAAUUACCACUUUGGACAAACUUAACCACAUUUCCUCCAUCCAAAGAUACCUGAGCAUCUAAUAUAUCGCUCAUUAAUGAAGUAGAACUUUCCAUCCAUUAAUUAACUUCUUAAUUAAUUCGGCACCAAAGAGCAGCCACACCCCUCUCAAGUACUAUUCAGAUCUUAUUAAACCACAUCCAUACCUGUCGGGCCAAACAGCAUUCAAAGAAUAAAUGAAUCAUUGUUUCUCUAUUACCACAUCUUAAGCACCGGGCAUCUCGACCGUGAUGGUUUAAUACCUUUCUUAACAUUUUCCCAUACAUUAAGAUUUGAUUGAGGAGCUUUAAACAAUCGCUCAUAAAAACAUCUAAAUUCCUCCAAAAUAUCAUCUGUUUCGAGACUUUAGGCGAAGCGUAAAUAUUAACAACUCUGAUAAUUUUAUUACUCACCUGGAUAUCUACUGUAAGUAUCCUACCAUCACAGUCUGUCUUAAAAUCAUACACUUUUAUCUUCUUCUUUAUUAACGUAAGUACUCCCGUGCUUCGUCUACUUGAGAACGAUGCGUAAAUAUUA